GCCCUUAUAGCUUAGGGGUAGAGCGUUGCACUUGUAUGACCUGCAAGGCAUGCAAAGGUCGGCGGUUCAAUUCCGCCUGGGGGCA
rnacentral:tRNA from 1 species